rnacentral:tRNA from 1 species
GCCCUGCUGGCGGAACCAGGCAUACGCGCCGGUCUUAGAAACCGGAUUCUCCGAGUUCGAAUCUCGGGUGGGGCA